rnacentral:rRNA from 1 species
AUGCCCUGGUGGUGCACGGCCAGUGUGGUGAAGGCAGGCUGCCAGAUCCAGACGCGGUGGGUGCGGGCUGCGGGCGGUCAUCUCCGCGGUGGUGGUCUGCUGGCGGAGGUGGCGGCGCAGCGGUGUGGGUCUCGCCCUUCUUCUCCUCUGGUUUCAGUCGGGGGCUGGAGGCAGGCUAGGGCUGGUGGUGGUGGGUGUGUGCCCGCUGGAUCUGAUGCAUUUUUCCGGCGUGCGGCACGGGUUGGCGCAGUGGCCCUGCGUGGUGGCUGCUCCGGCUGUGGGCGGCGGCGUUUUGCACUUCACCUCCUGAACUCCAUUCAAGUCUGCUACAUCAGCCUCUACAAAGUAUAG